rnacentral:tRNA from 1 species
GGAGAGGUGGCAGAGUGGUUGAAUGCGGCAGUCUCGAAAACUGUUGUAGUGGAAACGCUAUCGAGGGUUCGAAUCCCUCCUUCUCCG